UACGUAGGGUGCGAGCGUUAAUCGGAAUUACUGGGCGUAAAGCGUGCGCAGGCGGUUUUGUAAGCCAGAUGUGAAAUCCCCGGGCUUAACCUGGGAACUGCAUUUGUGACUGCAUGGCUAGAGUUUGUCAGAGGGGGGUAGAAUUCCACGUGUAGCAGUGAAAUGCGUAGAGAUGUGGAAGAACACCGAUGGCGAAGGCAGCCCCCUGGGAUGUGACUGACGCUCAUGUACGAAAGCGUGGGGAGCAAACAGG
rnacentral:rRNA from 1 species